UACAGAGGGUGCGAGCGUUAAUCGGAAUUACUGGGCGUAAAGCGUGCGUAGACGGUAGCGUAAGUCAGAUGUGAAAGCCCCGGGCUCAACCUGGGAAUUGCAUUUGAGACUGCUCUGCUCGGGUGCGGAAGAGGGAAGCGGAAUUUCCGGUGUAGCGGUGAAAUGCGUAGAUAUUGGGAAGAACACCGGUGGCGAAGGCGGCUCUCUGGACCGUAACUGACGCUGAGGCGCGAAAGCGUGGGGAGCAAACAGG
rnacentral:rRNA from 1 species